GAUGAACGCUGGCGGCGUGCCUAAUACAUGCAAGUCGAGCGAAUGGAUUAAGAGCUUGCUUUUAUGAAGUUAGCGGCGGACGGGUGAGUAACACGUGGGUAACCUGCCCAUAAGACUGGGAUAACUCCGGGAAACCGGGGCUAAUACCGGAUAACAUUUUGAACCGCAUGGUUCGAAAUUGAAAGGCGGCUUCGGCUGUCACUUAUGGAUGGACCCGCGUCGCAUUAGCUAGUUGGUGAGGUAACGGCUCACCAAGGCAACGAUGCGUAGCCGACCGGAGAGGGUGGUCGGCCACACUGGGACUGAGACACGGCCCAGACUCCUACGGGAGGCCGCAGUAGGGAAUCUUCCGCAAUGGACGAAAGUCUGACGGAGCAACGCCGCGUGAGUGAUGAAGGCUUUCGGGUCGUAAAACUCUGUUGUUAGGGAAGAACAAGUGCUAGUUGAAUAAGCUGGCACCUUGACGGUACCUAACCAGAAAGCCACGGCUAACUACGUGCCAGCCGCCGCGGUAA
rnacentral:rRNA from 1 species